UUAAUUAUUCCAAAGAAAGGAGAGCCUUCACUGCUUGGCUGCAUGGUGGAUGUCAGGAUAAAUCAGCCAAUAAUCCAGCAGAGCUUUGCAAGGAUGCGGGAGUGGAGGCAAGCCAGGCCCAGCCCCUUCCUCCCUCUGCUCUGCAAAGCUGCCUGCCCCGGGGCUCUUUCCAUCUCGAAGACCUCAUUCCUGUGCCCCCAAUUAGCAGUCUGGGAAAUCAGACACAUUUACUGAGCGCCCACUUUGCUCCAGGCACCAGGCAGUUCUCGGGGAGAGGAAGAGAGAAUCGUCAAGAUUCCUGCCCUUAUGGCACGUUCGUGGCUGGUCUGCUGGACGUGAACCAAGAGCCAUUUGCUCCGGAGGCAAGAGUCGAGUCAGGCCCAGCUGGGCUUUCCCAUCCUUUAUGUGCCCGAUCCCAUUAAUAAUUAACGGUACAGUAAUGAGAAUGGCUUUUAAUAGAAUCUGCUGCCAUCACCGCAUUCUCUUCCCCGCCGAGGGUCUCCCCCAAAAGGAUUCACGCUUGUAUGGCUGCCGUUCCCGCCACGGGCACCGGGAAGCCGGAAGUUCUCCUGCCGAUGUCCCUCCCAGCCCCUCCUCUCUUCUGGGCCUGAGCUCCACUCCCUGUGACCUGACAGCCCCCUCACUCCUCCAUUUCCCACCCCUGUCCCGAAGCCCCGCCCAUGUCCCCUUGAGGUGCCCCCUGUGGUGCUCGACUCCCCCACCCAGCCCAGCCAAGCAUGGCGCUGUCACGCCUCGUCUGUCACCAGGGCAAACUGGUCCCAUUGAGCAGGGACGGGGUGGGCGUGAGACCCACACGGUGCAUCCAGGAGCUGACGUUCUGCAUGCACAGGCCCACUUACAGCAAAGAGCAGGGAUGAAGAUGGCCCCUACUCCAUCAGAGUGUUCCGGUGAGAAGAGAAGCGAAUGUGGGAGAAGCAGAAUUAAGGGACGGUCCCUAACAUUCGCUCCAGGAAAACACCACAAUGUGCCCAGGGUUUUAGCUACUCAUGAUGCUAUUCACUGCAGCAUUAUUUAUGAUGUCGCAACUUGGAAACCAGCUCCUCGUUCAAUAUUGGAGGAUUGGCUUCGACAAGUGUGAGCACAUCCACGCAACGGGGCCCAUGCCUGCUUCCCAAACUGGGGUGUGCCUCGGAACCCCCGGGAGCCCUGGGAAAAUGCAGGUUCUGGGGGUCCGGGGCUGAGAUCCUGCUCUUGUAAGAGCUGCUGGUUGGGGACGGCUCCCUGAGUAUAAGGGGGUGGGGCCCUUGGGCGGGUAGAAGUUCGGGGUCUGCUGGCGAUAGAAGAACCAGGUUGAUAACAGUGUGUUCUGGGGUCCCAUCCCAGGCUCAACGCAGAGCGCGUGUGGCUCACUCGGGACAAAGUCGGGAGGCUCGAAGCCGAGCGCUCGAAGUGCUUAUAGAGAGGGGAUGAAUUAUAGAUCGUCUCAAAUUUUCUCUUUGGUUUAUCUUAAUUUCAAAAUUAUCCACAAUUAACAUGUAUUACUUUUGUAAAUGGAGAAAAAUGUUAUUUUUUUAAAAAGAAUAAAUGUUCUCUUCCUUUCCCUACAA
rnacentral:lncRNA from 1 species